rnacentral:rRNA from 1 species
CCUACGGGGGGCUGCAGUGGGGAAUAUUGGACAAUGGGGGCAACCCUGAUCCAGCCAUGCCGCGUGUGUGAAGAAGGCCCUCGGGUUGUAAAGCACUUUCAGUGAGGAAGAACGCCUGGUGGUUAAUACCCAUCAGGAAAGACAUCACUCACAGAAGAAGCACCGGCUAACUCCGUGCCAGCAGCCGCGGUAAUACGGAGGGUGCGAGCGUUAAUCGGAAUUACUGGGCGUAAAGCGCGCGUAGGGGGCUUGAUAAGCCGGUUGUGAAAGCCCCGGGCUCAACCUGGGAACGGCAUCCGGAACUGUCAAGCUAGAGUGCAGGAGAGGAAGGUAGAAUUCCCGGUGUAGCGGUGAAAUGCGUAGAGAUCGGGAGGAAUACCAGUGGCGAAGGCGGCCUUCUGGACUGACACUGACACUGAGGUGCGAAAGCGUGGGUAGCAAACAGGAUUAGAUACCCUAGUAGUC